CAAAAUAAUUAAAAGUAUUGCACGAUAUUUGGCGACAGCACUGACUAAAUCAUUCUUCUAUCUGGGCACCCCAACACUUUGUCCCACACAGCAGCUGGCCCUGGUCAGCUCCUUCCAUCCGCACUAUAGCAUAUCGUAUUGGUCACAUUGUCAUCUGUGCGCGUGUCGCAAUGCUGGAGACAUUUCUGUAUGUGCUCUAUGAGUUCUUCAAGUACGUCUUCCCGAUACGCAUCGUCAAUGAACUCGACGAUCUGAUAAUGCCCAGCGAGACGGAGUAUGGUGUCUGGCAUGACAUCUAAGGCCGCCGCAUUUGCUUCAAUCUCUGUCUCGUUUAAUAUCUUUCUCUCUGUCUAUUUGAUAUGGCAACUAAUUGAUUGAUGAUGAUGUUGCUGGGCGGCAAGAGUUUCCAAUAAAAAGCAUUCCUGAGCCUAAA